rnacentral:lncRNA from 1 species
AAGAAAAAGAACUUUCAGUCCCUGGACAACAGGCAGUGCAGGAUAGAGAGCCAUAUGGCUUCCUUGGCUCCCUGCCUGGAGAGAAUUUCCGGGCUGUAGCCCAGGAAGAGGGAACUCAAACAGACGCCAGCGGUCUCCCUGGGGUGAGGAGACCACGUUCCACGGGGAGAAUCCCCAGGGCAGAGAGGGACGCUAGGCCCCGGGCAGAGGUUGCCACACACCUUCAGGGGGUUUCUUUGAUUUGGACAUGUGGACGAUGGCCACACCCGGUGAUGUCGCCGGAGGAAGCCGCCGGCUCAGUGGCAAGUGAGUGGGGACAGUGACAGCCCACAGCGCUCUUAGCCUGACUUGGGGUUGGGGUGGAGGCAAGCAUGCUCCCUGCUGAGGCUGUGGGCAUUUGCAGGCCUAACCCUGGGGCUGCGUGCGGGGGGCGGGGGAGGAAAGCUGGGGUCAACCUGAAAAUGGCCCGAACUUUGUCCUCUCCCACGCACAUAUAGAUCAUUGUCAGAGGACAGAAUUCUCACUGGCUCAGGGUGGGCGGCUCAGUGGGUUAACCGUCUGCCUUUGGCUCAAGUCAUGAUCCCAGGGUCAUAGGACCAACCCCCCUUUUGGGCUCCCCACUCAGCCUGGAGUCUGUGUCUCCCUCUCACUCUGCUGCUCCCCCUGCUUGGGCUCUCUCUUUCUGUCAAAUGAAUAAAUAAAACCUUGAAAAAAAAAAUGAGCGGACCUGAAGCUGCACAGACACAGGGGCAUUCCUAGGAAUCCGAGCUUAAGAAUAAAAACAAGAAUUAUUUUAAAUGGGGCAGACACAGCAGUGGCCACCCACCCUGGGGGAAGCAGAUUCACUGAUUUGGCCCCUGGCAAUUGUUAAACAAAGAAACAAACAAAAGCCAGUGACAACAACCACCUGUAGAGGGCAUCAGAAUCCAGUCUAAACGCAGGAAAAGCAAGUACUCUAAUCUGUCUCUGCCGGGGCCCAGAUGUUGCAGUUAGCAGACAAAGACUUUGGAACAGCUAUUAUAAAAUAUGCUCAAAGAACUAAAAUAAAAAGACUCAAAGGAAAGUGUGACAACAAAAUAAAUAAUCUUGAUAAGAGCUUAGAAAAAAUAUUUUUUUGAGAGAGAGUGGGGAAGGAUCCUAGGGAGAGGGGGACAAACAGACUCACUGUGCGGGGAGCCCAACGCAGGGCUCGAUCUCGUAACCCUAACUGAGGCGAUGACCUGAGCUGGAAUCAAGAGUUGGCCGCUUAACGGACUGAGCCCCCCAGACGCUCCAGAUUUUUUUUUUUUUAAAGGAAUGAAGUACUGAUAUGUGCUACAUUAUGGAUGAGCCUUCCAAACAUGCUAAUUGAAAGAAUCUGGAUGCAUAAGGAAAAAUACUGGG